rnacentral:lncRNA from 1 species
AUGCUAGAGGGGGUAGAUUUACGUGCUGGCUGGCACGCCUACUUGUGGUAUGAAAAAAGGAAAAUAGAAAAAAAAUUGGAGAUCAUCUUAAUAAAAAUAUGGGAAAAAUACAAAAGAAGAAUAUUUACUAAAACUCCUCUAUGGAAAUCCCCGCUAGAGGCCUGUCAAAGAAGGGAAAUGGGUGGGACAAUUUGGCCAAAAUACAAAGAUAUUUUAACUAAGGAGAAGGGAAUUUACGAACUUAAAACACAGGAAAAUAUAAAUCAGGAAUUUAAAAAUAUAGGGUGGUUCCAAUUUGUGCAGAUUAAAGAUCAUUUCAAUAGAGAUAAGAAAAUAGGAUUUGAAGACAAAGAGACCUUUUGGGACAAAAUAACACAAUCAGAAUCUAAAAUUAUAACUAAGGUUUACAAAAAACUAUUAGAGUGGGCAACAGAACAAGAUUUCAUCAAAGAAUGCAUGGUUAAAUGGGCAAAAAACAUAGGGAAGACAAUCAGAAUAGAGGAGUGGGAGAAAUGUUGGAAUCAAAGAUUAAAGUAUACAUACUCAUCAGAUCUUAAAGAAAAUUGGAAAUGCGGGGAGCAGGAAGGCACAUAUUACCACUGCUGGUGGACCUGUGGGAGAGCCAAAGAGUUUUGGAAAAAAAUACAUCAAAGAAUACAAAAGAUUCUGUCAAUUAAGAUCAGCCUAGACCCUAAGUUCUUCCUAUUAGGGAUGCUGGAUGUAGAAGAUAAGAACAAAGAAAUUUUAUUUAAUUACUUAACAACGGCCGCGAGAAUAAUUUAUGCAAAAGAAUGGAGGAUGAAAAACAGACCAGAUAUAAAUUUCUGGAUUAAUAAAAAUUUUGAAAUUAUGAACAUGGAUAAAUUAACAUAUUUAUUGUCAAACACUCAGGGCAAACCAAAAAAUAGACAGAUUGGAAACCGAUAAAAAACUACUUAAGAAAUGAGAAAUGUAAAGUUAUAAUAUAAAGAAUUUUUAGAUGAGUAAGAGGGGCAUUAGUAGUGUCUCAGAAUAAAGGAUGAAGAACAAAUGCGGAAACAAGAUAGGAGAUAGAAGGAUAUUGGAAGUACCAAGGGAAUAAUAUAAGGAACACCAUAUAAUAAAGGGAAGUUGAUUUUAAUAAAUGUGUGUUUUGGUUAUGUAACUAUGUAAAGUUGUCUGUUAGAUUAGAUACAUGUUUUUAUUUAGCACAGGGUUUUUUUUGUUUUUCUGUACUUGUUUUCUUUUUUUAUCUUUUCUCACUUCUUUCUUGCUUAUUCGUUUGUUUUGUUCAGUUUUUUGGGGGCAUGUAUUCACUUUUUGUCAAACCUUCGUCUUGUCAAUGUUAACCACAUUAUUAUAAAUGUUUGCAAUAAAAAUUUACUUUAAAAAAAAGAAAAAGAAAUCAAACUUAGGCUCAGCUUAGCCUAAGCUGAAUUGCAGUGCAUCACCAUGGCAAAUAAGUCAAUAGAGGAAGGGGGAGAAGGGUUUCCCAGCAUUUGCAAAAAAUAUAAAAAUAAUAAACUUGAUAGAAACAACUUGAUUUUAAAAAAAUCAAUAAUGGAGAAAACAAAAUGGAGAGAAUUAUCUAUCCAGUGGGUUUUAAGAGCUUAGCUUUUAAAAUUCUGUCCUUAAAUCUCUAUGUAUUCACACAUGUUUGUAUUACAAACAGAGCUUUGCCAACAGAGAGCUGGGCCAAAACUAACAAAAUGAAGUUCAACAGGGACAAAUGCAAGAUACUCCACUUAGGCAGAAAAAAUGAAAGGCAAAGAUACACAAUGGAGGAUGCCUGGUUCGACAGAAGUAAAUGUGAAAAGGACCUUGGAGUCCUCAUGGACAAGUUAAACAUGAGCCAACAAUGUGAUGCAGUGGCUAAAAAGGCCAAUGGGAUUUUGGCCUGAAUAAAUAGGAAUAUAGUGUCUAGAUCCAGGGAAGUCAUGCUACCCUUCUAUUCUGACUUGGUCAGACUAUACCUGGAACACUAUGUCUAACUCUGGGCACCACAAUUGAAGUGUUGCACCCCUAGGCUGCAGAGGUACCUCAAAACCACACUGGAGCUCCAGAAUAUAAGCAAGCAAGCAGUUUAUUGAAGAUUAUAUGCAAGCACUAGCAAAUCAAAGUUCAAAGUCAAUAAAAUGUGGUUUAAGUCCACAAGAACAAAGUACUUGAGAAUCUUGAAGCAAGAGUCUAUAAAAGUCACUCAAAGAUCAGAGUCCAAACAGGAUAUCAAAGUUAGUCCCAAUAAAGGUAUCAAGAUUAGUCCAAGGCACAGAAUCAAACUGGAACACAGGAGGCAAAACUGGAACAUAGGAGAACAAACUGGAACAUAGGAGACAACACUCCAAGAUUAGUCCAAGGUACAGGAUCAAUGUUGGAACACAAGGCUGGAACAGAAAUCCAAACUGCAAUUACUGGAACAUCAACUGGAUACACAAAAACCUCCGAAAACAAGGACAAGACUGAAACAAGAAUCAAGGUACAAGACUGCAGGAAUUAACAUGGAAUUCACAGGAACAUCAUCAUCAUCAUCAUCAUUUACUUACUUAUUAAUCGCCCUCCAUCCAAGAUGCUCUAGGCGAUUUACAAGAUAAAAUUGUAAAGGAUAAAAAUACAUACAUACAAAUAUUGAUAAAAUUAACAUAGAUCAAAAGCUCUAGUAAACAGCCAGGUCUUAAGUGCUAGGGUAAAAGGCCCUAACUCACGCAUGGCUCUCAUAUAGGGCGGCAAGGCAUUGCAUAAGGCAGGGGGAGAAAUAGAAAAAGCUCUGCAUCUGAUCGGUUCCAAGUGCACUUCUCUAGGACCCGGUAUAUAAAGUAAGUCGUGUUGGGAUGGUCGUUACGACCUCCGAUGAUGGGAGAAGGAGAGAUGAUCCCUAAGGUAUGAUGGGCCCUGGCCGUAAAGAAUUUUAAAGGUCAGAACUAGCAACUUAUAUAGACCACGGUAAUCAGUUGGAAGCCAAUGCAAAUGCUGCAGCACUGGUGUUAUAUGGCAUUUCAUGGGUGUUUUUGUGAGUAGCCUGGCUGCCGCAUUCUGAACAAUACGGAACUUUCGGGUCGUGGACAUCGGAAGGCCAACAUACAGGGCGUUACAAUAGUCCAGCCUAGACAUGACCGUGGCAUGGAUUACUGUUUCCAGAGCCUCAUUAGAUAGAUAGGGUGCCAGUUGCCUCGCUUGUCGUAGAUGGAAAAAGGCCUGUUUGCUAGCAGCAGCGACCUGAGCUUCCAUUGUCAGCUGCGAAUCCAAAAUGACACCCAAGCUCUUAACAGUAGGCGAAGGAGAUAGGGCAGCACCAUCGAAGGUGGGUAGCAAAUGGGUCAGGACAAUCGAGCGGCCAUGCCAAAGAAUCUCAAUUUUUGCGGGGUUCACCUUCAGUCUACUAGCAUGUAGCCAGUUAGACAGAGCCUCCAGACAUAAGGUGAAAUUGUUUGGUAUUGACGUUGUUCCAGGCUCCAAGCGCAGAAGGAGUUGGGUGUCGUCCGCAUAUUGAUAGCAAUCUAGGCCAAAACUCCGAGCCAAACUAGUAAGGGGUCUAACGUAGAUGUUGAAGAGAAGAGGGGAGAGAAUUGCACCUUGGGGUACCCCACAUAGGAGGGAAGAUCUUUCAGAGACUUGAUCCAUAUACUCCACGCAUUGGCUCCGGUUUCAGAGAAAUGAGUUGAACCAAUUGAGGGCCUGAACUCCAGACAUGGCGAGAUAGUGAAUCAUUAGAUCAUAAUCAACGAUGUCAAAUGCUGUGGUAAGGUCGAGAAGUACCAGUAGCGCUGAUCCACCACUAUCAGACUGGCGACGAAGUUCAUCUGUAAUGGCAACCAGGACUGUCUCCGUCCCAUGGCCAGGGUGGAAGCCUGACUGGAAAGGGCCCAGGCCGGCUGUAUCAUCCAAAACUUGUUGCAAUUGUCCCAGUACAGCCCACUCUAUCAUCUUAUCCAAGAAUGGGAGGUUAGAAACAGGACGAUAGUUGGCAAGGGUCAUGGGAUCCAAGCUAGGCUUCUUUAGCAAGGGACGAACCCUUGCCUCUUUUAGGUUGUCCAGGAAGACCCCUUGUUCAAGAGAGCCAUUGAUUAUAUUACUCAAUGGAUCGAGUAGACCUUUCAGGCAGCUCUUCAUCAGCCAGGAGGGGCACGGAUCAAGGGAACAGGUGGUUGGUUUUGCAACAGCCAGGAUUCUAGCGACAUUUUCCUUGUCAAGCGGAGUAAAUCGGUCAAAGAUAGGCCCACUAAGCAGCCACAAAGUCUCAAGCUCACUCAAGUUAUCAACUGUAGGGGGCAGUUCCUGCCAAAGCACGGUGAUUUUAUCAGUGAAAAACUUCUGGAAUGCCACUGCUGUAAGAGCCGUGGUUGCUGGGUUUUGGA